GAGCGCAGGCGGAAGGCUAAGUCUGAUGUGAAAGCCCGGGGCUCAACCCCGGUACUGCAUUGGAAACUGGUCAUCUAGAGUGUCGGAGGGGUAAGUGGGAUUCCUAGUGUAGCGGUGAAAUGCGUAGAUAUUAGGAGGAACACCAGUGGCGAAGGCGGCUUACUGGACGAUAACUGACGCUGAGGCUCGAAAGCGUGGGGAGCAAACA
rnacentral:rRNA from 1 species